rnacentral:lncRNA from 1 species
AAUGAGGCCAAUGCAAACCAUACACAAGUGGGUCCCCGGGGGUGCAUACGGCAUUGUACUGUGAGGUUGAUGAUGGCAAGUGUUGUUCUCUCUCAUAACAUAUUCACAUUGACUUUUUAAUUAAGACAAACAACCACUAACAUUACCAAUCCCAUUUUACAUUGAAUUCUUUAUUCACAUAAAUAAGCACUAAUAUUUCACAUACUCAUGAACGAUUGCAUUGAUUUCAAGAUUCCAUAUUAACAUCAAAAACUACAUUCCAUUUAACUUCUAUGACCGGCCACUUAGAAUUUUUAAUUCAACAACAAACAUGUCACCAGAUCAAUCCUCUAUGGCUGCCACUCGAUCUCCAAUCUCAUUG